GGGAGAGAGAAGAAGGUGGAGGGAGAGCGGAAGAUGGAGGGAAGCUCAGCUCUGGUGCCUGACCCUGGCGGCCGGGGCCUGUGCAUCCUUUGUGGAGGAGCGGCCAAAGCCAAACGUCUGUUGCUCCCCAUGGCUGGGCGCCCCAGCUCACCCCGGGACGGCUGCGUGCUGAGAAUCGUGCGGAGUGAAAGAAGGAUCUCUGGCCACACGAGUGUUCCCUGGUGCAUCUAUUUGAAUAUAUUUGCAGCUCUGAGCAAGUCCUUCUGCCCCGCUCACUGCAGCCCAGCAAACGCUGCCCGCUUCACUCUGCUCUGCCUCUGCUGCUGGGAGCAGGAACCUCUUCUGACGGAGCCACACAGCUCCAAGUACCAUUUAUUUAAGAGGAAACUGCCCUUUGCGAGUAAAUGAAGUUGAGAGCAGAGUGGAGGGACUUCAGUUCCACUUCCCAGUAUGACGACUGAAGAGGGUGAGUUUCCUUCAGCUACAAAUGUCCUCACAGAAAGUUUUUAUUUAGCUAAAUAGAAGAAAGCAGUUUCCAGACCAAAGAGGAAGAAAAUAAGACCAGACAACACUACAAAGAGUGAAAAAUUUUGGUGUCCCAAUUUCAUACUUUUUAUUCUUGUCCAAUGGGAAAACUUGCUGUGAGAGCUUUGAUUUAUACAGAAGAUAUUUACACCUGCAUCCAGUCCCUUUCUACUAUUUAUGGAAAGCUUGAAGCAAACAAACACUGAAACAGUUGGAAUGAAUAUGUCUGUAAACAUGAUAUCUUAAAUUAUUGUGCUGUGGAAAUGUCACGUUACACUAGGAAUUAUUUUUUUAAUCACUAAUCAAGCAGGAGGAUUUUCAGAGACAAGAUCAGAAGUUCAAAAGGAAGAACCAUAGAUACUGAACAGAAGAUUGAGCAAAGAACGUGGAAUCCCAGAUUUAAUUGUAUACUCCUGCAUCUAUGAGGUCACGAUGUGACUUUGAGCGAGAUACCUCAUUUUCCUGACUCUAGUGUUGUGAUCUUGGCUUUUGUUUUGUUUGAGGUUUGGUGGGGGGGCGGGGAGGGUCACACCUGGCUGUGUUCGGGACUUCUAGCUCUGCAUUCAGGGAUCACUCCUGCAUUCGGGGGAUGGUAUGCGGUGCCAGGGACCACCCAGAGGAGAAGCGCGUAAGGCCAGCAUCUUCCUGUGGUCCUAUCACUCAGGCAUUGUUUUGUGACCCUGGAAUGGGGUUAACAGCAGCAUCCCCCAGGGCUGUGGGGAAGAUACCUCUACUGCAUGUCAAGUCCAGGGAUUGAUGCCUGGCUUGUCCUGGGUCUGUCUGGAGAACCAUGUCACUAUUCGGAUCCCAUUUCCUUCACCACCUCUACCCCUUGGAAAGCAUGGACUCUUCUUCCGGGUGCUGCCCACGUGCUCCUGGCCAGCAGCUGCAUCUGCUGCACAGAGCUUCUUUCGCCCCAACCACCUUCUCAGUUCUGACAUGCAGGGUCCAAAGGAUCAUGGGGAAAAAAGUUCUGGUCUCUGUAGCUCAGUUUCUUCAUCUGUGCAAAAUGAAAGUCUCGUAUCUGUCUUCUGAGUUGCUGUGGACCCGGAGUACAUCAUACAGAAAAAAUACAUAAAGUACCACAGAGAGUAUCUUCACGCUAAAGGCCUCCCAUAAAUAACAGUUUCUAGAAGUCACACUUAGUAGUAUUACAUUUAUGAUAAAUGCAAAAAGGGAAAAAACAAGGAGCUAGAAAUUCUGGCAAGAUCUAUUUAAGAUACAUCUCCCCUACCCAUUCACAUCACAUGAUUCCUAUCUUAUACCCAAACCCCCAAUUAUUUUCUUUGUUUGCUUUAUAAGGGAGAGAUGUUACAGGGAGGAAACCAAGCAAAUAAUGCGACUAGAAAAGGCAGUUAAGAUGCACAACCCUAAACACAUUUUUAAAAAGAGAUACUAAAUAACCCAUUGUCCCCAAAGAAAAGAAAAGCAAACAGAUAAGAUCACAACAUACACCAUGAAGAAAACCUCAAAGUGAAAAGGUAGUUAUAUAAAGAGCGAGUGAACAAUGUAAGUCCUAUAAAUACAUACAUAAUUUCAUCAUCUGCUGUUUCACUGUUAGAUGUGCUCCCUUUCAGUUUGUUCUCCUGCAUCUGUUCACGACAAAGCCACCGAGCCUCUUAAAUUACUCACAGCUCUUAAAAACAUACACUUUGGGUUGCAAUUUUUAAAGCAUUUAAAUUUCAUUUAAAUGUGUUUAAAGACGGUUUUAUGUCCCUGGAUUUUGAAGGAGAUAACAGAUUUCCCAUAACCAAACCCCUCUUAAAUAUUUAAGGACUUUGCAGAAUACUAAUUAAACUCAUAAAAUGUGUGGGAAAAAAUUUAAAAUUCCAAGCUCAUUUAAACCAUACGUUCUAAGAUAUUUUGAGAGAUAAAAAAAGGUAUAUCAGGAGAUGGUGAACAAUUAACUACUGGGAAGGUUUUGUUUGGCUAUUUAUUUGCAACAUACUCUUACUUCUACAGAAGCUGUAUUUAUGUAGGGUGUUUGAUGACUUCACUGAGACUCGAUUAUGCAAGUGUGGGCAGAAAUAUCAUAUAUCUUAUAUCAUGAGAUCUUGAAAAUUAUGCUUUUAUAAUUUAAGAGAAUAUUGCAAUAAUACUUAAAUACAGCAAGUCUGUUCUUCACCUUACAUCUAACUUUUGCAUACGUACAAUUUUUUUAAAAUUCUAAUUAAGUAUAUGCAUCUAUUUUUAAAUUACUUUAAAAUAUUUAAGGUAGAAUCUUUGUUAUACAUUUUGGCCAAAAGUAUGACUUAUAGGAUAAAAUCAUGUGGAUAUUGUACAUUUCCUUCAUUAAUCUAAAUAAUCAUGGCAUAGUAUCUCUUGCCCGCACGGCUAUUUUUCCCAGGGCCCCUCGGAAGGGGUGGGCUCCAGCUUCCUUUCCAGCCCCGAGCAGAGCUCCCUUGGCUGAAGACCUCCGGAGCCUAGCCCAGCCGUGUUCAAGGCCCCUCUCCACAUGUUCAGACGAGCCUCAUGCAUGAAGGUACCGGCAGAGGAACCCAGAAAUAAGAGAGACACUGACUUUUCUUCUCACCAAAGAAUGGGGAAAUAUGAGAUCGUCUACAGGAAAAAUGACCAGGCUAUACCUACCUGAGUGAUGCUCAAGGUUACUUUUGAUUCUGUGAUCAGGAAUGUUCCCAAUAGUGAUCUGAAGACCACGUGGUACUGAAGAUUAAAUUCAGGCUUUCUUCAUGUGGACUAUGAGCUAAGUUUCUUAAACCCUCUCUCCAACACUGUUUUAUUGUUUUAAAAUACAGUAGCAUCAGUCCUCCAAACGUAUUCUUCUUCGUUAUUCUGUUAAAUGUACUUGAUCUCUUUUGCAUUCCCAAAUGAAAUUUAUAGUUAUUGAGCCAAAAUACAUGAAAUAACUUGGAUUUUGGUGGCAGUUGAAAUAAUUUAUAGAAAGUAAUCUAUAGAUCAUGUUGGUAAGAAUUGAAAUAUUGACAACAUUGAGAGUUCAGAUCCAUGAGCCUGGACUAUUACUUCGUUUAUUUAGUUCUCUUUGAUUUUAUUCUUUAAAGUUGCAAAUGUAAGUAUAUCAUCAUCAUCAUCCCAUUGAUCAUCGAAUUUCUCAAGCAGUCUCAGUAACGUCUCUAUUCUUCCCAGCCCUGAUAUUUUAGAAUGAUAUUUAGAAUGGCUGUGACUAAGCUCUGGAGGUCUUUGACCAUGGGAGCUCUGCUUGGGGCGGGGAGGGAAGGUGGAGCCCACCCACUCCGUGGGGCCCCGGGGAAGACAGCCAGGAAUGUGGGCAAGAUGCUCCAGAAAACCUCAGGAGCCUAGCCACAGCCAUGCUCAAGGCCCCUCUCCACAUGUUUGGACGAGCCUCAUGCAUGAAGGUACCAGCAGAGGAACCCAGGCGUGUGGGACCCAGGGCUGAGACCUCCAAGCCUGCUCGAUCGGGACUGGGCCUCUUGUGCCCAGAUUUCCCAUUUUCCAGUAGCUAGGUGGUCCCACCCAGGGACUGCCCCCAGGCACCAAGUAAUCCCACCAACGGCCAACAUCCAGAGACUUAAAACCAAGCUCCCAGAAGAGAGUGAUGGAGAGAUAUAAAUACAAAUGUAUGUUUAAUUUAUGUUUAUUUUCAUAUUUCAUAUUUCACAUAUUUGACAUGUUAUUAAGUAAAUAAGCCACUUUAUUUUUUCUUUAUGGGUCACACCUGGCGAUGUACAGGAAUUGGCUCUGCCCUCAGGAAUCACCCCUGGUGGUGCUCAGGGGACUAUAUGGGAUGCUGGGAAUUGAACCUGGGUCGGCCGCGUGCAAGACAAAUGCCCUACCUGCUGUACUAUGUAUGGCUCCAGCCCUGAAUAAGCCAAUUUUUUAAAGCUACGUAUAAUAAACAAUUCCCACUCGAUGACAUUUUGGAAAGGGAAAACAAUGGAGAAAUAAAAGGAGAAGUUGCCAGGGAAUGAAAGUAGAUGGAAAGAGGGAUAAUAGGAGACAAGAUUUUAGGCUAAUAAAAAGACUGCUAUCAUGAUAGCAGACUGAUCAUCUACAUUUAUAUCUAUACUUGUGCACAUCUGUAGGUAUGGUAUAUUUACUGAACUCCAUAGAACGAUCCAGAGUACUCUUAAGGUAUGCUAUGAAUUUUGAGGCCUAUGAUGUGUCAGUUUAAUUUCAUAUUUAGUGAACAUGAGUUGUUCUAGUGAAUAAGCAUGAUAAAAUAAGAAGGUUUUCUCUGCAAAGGUUUUUAGGAAAUGAAGAAAAUCUCAGAACAUCCCAAUCAAUUGUAAUAUACCCUGGGUUGCUUAUUUUUUUUUAAUAAAAGUCUUUCUCCUUCUUUCUCUCUUUGUCCUUCUCUCUCCCUUUCUCUCUCUCUUUCUCUCUCUCACACACGCAUAUGUGUACAUACACGCGACAUUAGUUCUUACAGAGAGGAAUAGAGAACUUACUUUCUAAAUAGAAACAUCAAUUCAAUGAGAAGUCACAAAAUGGCAAUGCAACAACAAAAAUAAUAAGAAGCAACUGCCUGACUUUUCCCAUUAGUUGAACUGUCUUUUGUCUGAUCAUUACACAAAGAGUCAGCACUAAUGUCUCCCUUUUUGAACCUGACAUUAACUUGGCAAAACAGAAGGCAUCAGCCACAUUCAUAAUCUGCUGAGCAAAGCGCAGCUUCCACAAAGGCGGUAAUCAGGGAUCAAACAGGUAAGAGGAAAACAUCCUCUUGAUCAUCCCAUUAGAAGCAAACACACGGGAGCAAAGGUAGUUUUUACGGGACGUGGAGGCUGCUGAUACACACACUGAUUUCACAAGCGCCGGCAUCUGAAGCCCGGGUGGACCACGCGAGCAGCAGCGGGACGGGCACUUGGGGAGGGCGCUGGGGUGCUGGGGCCUUCCCUGCGGGUUGCGUUUCCUUGUUCCCAGGGCCUGUGCUUCCUGGGCACGAGGAGGAGUUUUCACUCUCGGGAAUUCACCUGUGGAGCUCUGAAGUUCUACCCUGUCCGACACGAAAUGGAAGAGUAGGAUGGCAGCAAGGAGAAUGAAUGAAUGACGGGCAUUCACAGCGGUCAGAGGAGAAAUUAAAAAGAUGUUCCUGCCAAGGUCAGAUUGAAAUUUCCAGAUUAAAAUGUGGUAACUUUUAGGCUUAAGAACUGACCUUUACUCUUCUCCUCGCCUCAAAGUUAGCUUCCCCCCUUCUUUUUUUUUUAAUAUUUAGGUUGCUGACCCCAAAUGUCACAAGCGAAUGAACUGUAAUUUGCCUGGCCAACCUGUGCACUUUUUAGGUUAUUUCUAAUGAGAUGUUCACUGGCUAAUUACUAAAUAUAAUAUGAAUAAAAUAAAGCUUGCGAAGGUGCAAAAUAAAUCAUAUAUAAUUAUUGUAUGUUCCUAUCUUGAAAUUAAAAGGGUUUCUAAUUAUGUCUUA